rnacentral:rRNA from 1 species
CCAGACUCCUACGGGAGGCAGCAUUUAUGAAUAUUGGUCAAUUGGCGGAAGCCUUAACCAGCCAAUUCUCUUGAGGGAAUAAUUCCCUGCGGGUCUCCUACCUCUUUUGACUUUGAGCAAGUCCUCCUACGUGUCUUCUUCCGGAGAGUCCCCUUCGAACAAGCCUCUUCUAACUCCUUUCCCUCAGCCGCUUUCCUCCGGAGGAUUCUCUCGUUAUCCUGAUUUCUUGGGUUUAACGGGUGCGCAUGCGGAACGGCAAGAAGGGGGUAAAAUCGAGGGGAUCAACCCAGCCAAGCCGUCGGAAAUGCCGGGCUAGAGUGGGCGAGAAGUGCGCGGAAUGAGUGGUGUAGCGGUGAAAUGCGUAGAGAGAAAGCAGAACUAAGAUUGCGAAGGAAGAGAACCGGCGCACUACUGACGCUCAGGCACGAAAGCGUGGGGAUAGAACAGGAUUAGAUACCCUAGUG